UCCCUGGCAGUUCAGUGGUUGGGACUCUGCACUUCCACUGCAGGGGGAACAGGUUCAAUCCCUAGUCAGGGAA
rnacentral:tRNA from 1 species